GCGUAGGUAUCUAUCCUUGGGUGGGGGACAACCGUGGGAAACUACGGCUAAUACCGCAUGACGACUGAGGUCUAAAGGCGCUGGGCAACUUGGUGUCGCCUGGGAGGAGCCUGCGUACGAUUAGCUAGUUGGUGGGGUAAAGGCCUACCAAGGCUUCGAUCGUUAGCUGGUCUGAGAGGAUGAUCAGCCACACUGGGACUGAGACACGGCCCAGACUCCUACGGGAGGCAGCAGUGGGGAAUAUUGGACAAUGGGCGCAAGCCUGAUCCAGCAAUGCCGCGUGUGUGAAGAAGGUUUUUC
rnacentral:rRNA from 1 species